rnacentral:rRNA from 1 species
UGGGGAAUAUUGGGCAAUGGGCGAAAGCUUACCCAGCAACGCCGCGUGAGGGAAGAAGGUUUUCGGAUUGUAAACCUCUGUCCUGGGGGACGAAGGAAGUGACGGUACCCCGGGAGGAAGCCCCGGCUAACUACGUGCC